AAGUUUUUAUGAGAAAAGUCUGGGCUCUCUAUACAGUGUCGGUUAAUCUGCCAAUAAAAAUAAUUUUAAGGAAAGUUUUACAGA
rnacentral:ribozyme from 1 species